UCAUCGGCAGAGCGCCCGGGAUGGAGCGGGCCGUUUCUCCCGCUUCUACCACCACCUCCGCUGCCUCAGAGCUGGCUCCCGCCGCCGCCGCCGCCGCCGCCACCGCCGCCGCCCUCUCCCUCCUCUCCUUUUCCUCUCCCCCCGCCGCCUCCCCUUUGUCCUCCCCCUCCGCCGCCUCCUUCUUGGGCGCUUCUGCCGCCUCUACACGACUCAGGCCCUCCGUCCCUGAGAAGUUGUGUUCGGUCUCCUCUGUGGGCCCCGGGCGCAGCCAUGGCAGACGGCGGCGGCGGCGGCGGCACGGGCUCGGUGGGCGGCGGCGGAGCGGGCCAGGCCUCGGCGGGGGCAGCGACAGGGGCGGCGGGGGCAGGUGGGAGCGGCGGCCCCAUCAACCCCGCCUCACUGCCUCCCGGGGACCCGCAGCUCAUCGCACUCAUCGUGGAGCAGCUCAAGAGCCGGGGCUUGUUUGACAGCUUCCGCCGGGACUGCCUGGCCGACGUGGACACCAAGCCAGCUUACCAAAACCUGAGGCAGAAAGUGGAUAAUUUUGUGUCAACACAUCUGGACAAGCAGGAAUGGAAUCCUACAAUGAACAAAAACCAGUUGCGAAAUGGUCUGAGGCAGAGUGUGGUUCAGUCAGGGAUGUUGGAAGCUGGAGUGGACAGAAUCAUUUCUCAAGUGGUGGAUCCCAAACUAAACCACAUCUUCAGACCACAGAUAGAAAGAGCAAUUCAUGAGUUCCUGGCGGCCAAGAAAAAAGAAGCUGUGCCAGCGCCCCCUCCAGAGCCUGAGAGCCAGGACCCCCCAGCUCCAUCCCAGGAUGCUUCCUAAGGUCCGGUAUCCUGUCUUUUGUCCAGGAGCCUUCAUCUCUGGCUUAUAAAUAUAUAAAACGGAUAGAAAAGGGAGUAUGUCUGACACUUUUUGGAAGCUCCAUUAAAUUAACUGUGAAGAAAUGGAUUUGGUUACUUAAGAGUACACCUUCAGAAUGAAGACAGGCCGAGGUCGUCACUGAUUUCAGCAUUCAGCCUUGACUGUGGGGUAGCAUGCAGAUUGAACAGGCAGUAGCAAAGUUGACCUUGUGUGCCCCCUCAUUGUGCUGCCAUCCGGUCAGCCUGUCGAAGGGGAUGGCAUCCAGAAGACACUACAGAGUUAUAAAGAAACACUACGUCAGCCUGGGGUUGUCCUGAAACAAACCUUUAUACUUGAACUUGGAGACUGCGUGUGGAUUUUAGGGUUUGUGUUUGGGGAUCCUAGAGGGGCUGGAGCUACAGAGAAUGAAGAUAACCAGUCCCAAGGAUGCAAUUUCAAAGAAUGACAGUAAAGGUUAGCGUGGAGUAGGUAUUAGUGCUUAUUUGUCAACUAGAACAUGUAAGCAUUAGCAUCAAAUAGCUCUCAAGUUGUCGUGACCCUCUUGUACAUGAAUCUUGUAGCUUCGGUUUCCCUGCCUCAUAAGAGGUGACAAAACAUGGGACCCUAGAAUGUGUGAGGAAGUACGGACAUCGGGUAAAAGGAAAAACAUUUGCAGGCUCUCUGUCCAGGGCUUUUUCCUAUCCUGCAAAGGUUAGUGGGUCUUGGGUGUGUUUAUUUUAUUCUCAUGUUUAUGUUUUUUAGAAAAGUUGAAUGAUCAAUGAAUGGCUUAAGUUUUGUAAUAAAAUCAUUUGAUACUCUUA